UCAAACCUCCAAUCGUCCCACUGCAAACUCUAAACCUAAUCGUUCCUCAAAUCGUCCCAAUCGUUCCUCCCAUUCGCCAAAUCCCAAUCAUUCUCCAAUCUCUCCAUUCUCCAAUCUCCAAUUUCAUUCGGUUUCAUUCUCCAAACCCUAGACGGCAGAACGCUUGAAUCGCCUCCAAAUUUCUUCGUUUUCAUUCGGUAAAGGGGUUGCUGUGUUAGGCGGUGGUUGCUGCUCCUGCGUUAGGCGGUGGUUGCUGCUCCUGCGUGUUGACUGCUGCUGUGCAGGGGCUGGUGUUGCUGUUUUUUGGUGUUGUCAUCUUUGUUUGAAGUUAGAAGGUUCAAUCACGGUCUCAUCUACAGGUAUGGACCGUAGUUGGAUGAGAGCUAAUCGAUUAAGUACUGAGUACAGACAUGGAGUGAUGGAAUUUCUACAGUUUGCGGAAAGUAAUGCUGAACUAGAACGUCCUCCUCCUGAAUUUCCUCCACUUUUUCUAUGUCCGUGUAUUUUUUGUGCAAAUAAAGAACCAAAACGUACUAAGAAAGAAAUCAUGAAUCAUCUAAUUUGUGACGGGAUUUGUCAAAAUUAUACACAAUGGAUAUGGCACGGUGAAGUAGUAGCAACGCCAAGUGUGUCCCAUAGAGAAAGUGGUAGUGUGGAUAUCGAUGAUCGACUGGAAGACAUGAUGCGUGAUAUUGGAGAAGAUUCGUUUAAGAGGGCGCAUGUGUAU